rnacentral:misc_RNA from 1 species
CGCACCUUGCGCUCCUUGGUAUUCCGAGGAGCAUGCCUGUUUGAGUGUCAUUAAAUUCUCAACCUCUCUAGUUUUUUGACUAGUAGAUGGCUUGGAUGUGGGGGUUUUUUGCCGGCUUUCACAAGUCAGCUCCCCUUAAAUGUAUUAGCCGGUGCCCUCUAACCGUCUAUUGGUGUGAUAAUUAUCUACGCCGUGGACUAUUAGAUUUGGUGUGCUGCUUAUAACCGUCUUGUACUAGACAAUCUAUGACAUUUUGACCUCAAAUCAGGUAGGACUACCCGCUGAACUUAA